AUACUUACCUGGACGGGGUCUAUGGGCGAUCAGUAAGACCCAUGGCCUAGGUUGGUGACCUCCAUUGCACUUUGGAGGGAUGCCCGCCUAAGGUUGGCCCAAGUGGCUGAGCCUACGUCAUAAUUUUUUCUUGGUUUUGGUUAAUUGGUGUUUGAAAU